GGUUGAAGUUCAGGUAACACUGAAUGGAGGACCGAACCGACUUACGUUGAAAAGUGAGCGGAUGAACUGAGGGUAGCGGAGAAAUUCCAAUCGAACCUGGAGAUAGCUGGUUCUCUCCGAAAUAGCUUUAGGGCUAGCCUCAAGUGAUGAUUAUUGGAGGUAGAGCACUGUUUGGACGAGGGGCCCCUCUCGGGUUACCGAAUUCAGACAAACUCCGAAUGCCAAUUAAUUUAACUUGGGAGUCAGAACAUGGGUGAUAAGGUCCGUGUUCGAAAGGGAAACAGCCCAGACCACCAGCUAAGGUCCCAAAAUAUAUGUUAAGUGGAAAAGGAUGUGGCGUUGCCCAGACAACUAGGAUGUUGGCUUAGAAGCAGCCAUCAUUUAAAGAGUGCGUAAUAGCUCACUAGUCGAGUGACACUGCGCCGAAAAUGUACCGGGGCUAAACAUAUUACCGAAGCUGUGGAUUGUCCUUUGGACAAUGGUAGGAGAGCGUUCUAAGGGCGUUGAAGCAUGAUCGUAAGGACAUGUGGAGCGCUUAGAAGUGAGAAUGCCGGUGUGAGUAGCGAAAGACGGGUGAGAAUCCCGUCCACCGAUUGACUAAGGUUUCCAGAGGAAGGCUCGUCCGCUCUGGGUUAGUCGGGUCCUAAGCUGAGGCCGACAGGCGUAGGCGAUGGAUAACAGGUUGAUAUUCCUGUACCACCUAUAAUCGUUUUAAUCGAUGGGGGGACGCAGUAGGAUAGGCGAAGCGUGCGAUUGGAUUGCACGUCUAAGCAGUAAGGCUGAGUAUUAGGCAAAUCCGGUACUCGUUAAGGCUGAGCUGUGAUGGGGAGA
rnacentral:rRNA from 1 species